GAUGAACGCUGGCGGCGUGCCUAAUACAUGCAAGUCGAGCGAACUGAGUAGAAGCUUGCUUCUAUGACGUUAGCGGCGGACGGGUGAGUAACACGUGGGCGACCUGCCUGUAAGACUGGGAUAACUUCGGGAAACCGAAGCUAAUACCGGAUAGGAUCUUCUCCUUCAUGGGAGAUGAUUGAAAGAUGGUUUCGGCUAUCACUUACAGAUGGGCCCGCGGUGCAUUAGCUAGUUGGUGAGGUAACGGCUCACCAAGGCAACGAUGCAUAGCCGACCUGAGAGGGUGAUCGGCCGCACUGGGACUGAGACACGGCCCAGACUCCUACGGGAGUCAGCAGUAGGGAAUCUUCCGCAAUGGACGAAAGUCUGACGGAGCAACGCCGCGUGAGUGAUGAAGGCUUUCGGGUCGUAAAACUCUGUUGUUAGGGAAGAACAAGUACAAGAGUAACUGCUUGUACCUUGACGGUACCUAACCAGAAAGCCACGGCUAACUACGUGCCAGCCGCCGCAGUAAUAC
rnacentral:rRNA from 1 species